rnacentral:rRNA from 1 species
GUCUAUGGCCAUGCCACCCUGAAUAAGCCCUAUCCCAUCUAAUCUCAGAAGCUAAGCAGAGUCAGGCCUGGUUAGUACUUGGAUGGGAGACCAACUAGGAAGACCCAGUGCUGUAGGCG